AAUCCUCAUCCUUACUCCAGGGUUGUUCUUGUCCAUACUGUCCCUGGCAUUAAUUGAGGAUAAAAUAACUGCAUUUAUUCAGUAACUGGAGAGUUGUUUUCCAAGGGACUGGAUGGAAGCAUACACG